rnacentral:rRNA from 1 species
CCAAACGAGCCUAGUGAUAGCUGGUUAUUCAAGAAAAGAAUUUUAGUUCUCCCUAAAGUCCAACAAAUCACCAAUUAUAACCCACAUACUUUAGAGCUACUCAAAUAAGGUACAGCUUAUUUGAAACAGGGUACAACCUACACCAAUGGGUAAUUACAAUUUUAUUGCAAAUCCGUCGGCCUAGAAGCAGCCACCAGGUAAAUGCGUUAAAGCUUUUUUGCUAUAUUACACCCCUCAAUACCAUUUUUUCUCCACAACCCUUCACCACUAUUGAAUAAUUCUAUACUAUAUAGAACCUAUAAUGUUAAAACUAGUAAAAAGAAUAUUUUUCUCUUAAAUGUAACCCAAAUCAUUUUUAUCACGCCACUAAAAUUAUAAUAACAACUAUAUCCCCUCCCCCUCCCAUUUAAAAACUUUAUUUUUAACCAACGUUUUCUAACCCAAGAACACUCCAAGCAAGACAAAACAAAAAAAAAGGAACUCGGCAAAUAUAGAUAUCGCCUGUUUACCAAAAACAUCGCCUCUUGACUUCUAUAAGAGGUCCAGCCUGCCCAGUGAAUUUUUAACGGCCGCGGUAUUCUAACCGUGCAAAGGUAGCGUAAGCACUUGUUCUUUAAUUAAGGACCGGUAUGAAUGGCACCACGAAUAUCUAACUGUCUCUUUUCUUCAAUCAUUGAAACUAAUCUCCCCGUGAAAAAGCGGGGAUAUAUCUAUAAGACGAGAAGACCCUAUGGAGCUUUAAACCAAAUAGCAAUUAUUUUAAUUCUGCUACGAGGUUUUUGGUCGGGGCAGCCGCGGAGAACAACUUAUCCUCCAAAUUGUACCUAGAAUCUUCUUUAACCAUAAGCCACAUCUUUACGUAUCAAUAAAUUGACAUUAAUUGACCCAGUUUCUGAUCAACGAAACAAGUUACCCUAGGGAUAACAGCGCAAUCUUCUUCGAGAGUUCAUAUCGACAAGCGGGUUUACGACCUCGAUGUUGGAUCAGGCUA